UUAGAUUGGACAUUAGGAAGAACUUCUUCACAGUUCGAGUGGCCAAGGUCUGGAACGGGCUCCCAAGGGAGGUGGUGCUCUCCUCUACCCUGGGGGUCUUCAAGAGGAGGUUAGAUGAGUAUCUAGCUGGGGUUAUCUAGACCCAGCACUCUUUCCUGCCUAUGCAGGGGGUCGGACUCGAUGAUCUAUUGAGGUCCCUUCUGACCCUAACGUCUAUGAAUCUAUGAAUAGACCAGGAGGUCCGGGUAUGUGGUCCACGCUUUGCACUGGGCCUGGCUUUCCUAUGUUGUCCUCUGUUAAAAGCCUGGUGCUGGGGCAUGUGUCCCAGAGGACUUAGGAGGUGGGGGUAAGUGGAGGUGUUCAGGUAGGUGACGCAGAAGCUCCCAGCUUCAUGACGAAAGUGUGAUCCGUGCUUGCCUGGCACCCCUGACCCUCAUGGGUCAGCGUGUUCUGGGGGAAGAUUACCCUGCACCAAGCCACCCAGCCCCUUCUGCAGGUCUCUUGCUCAUCGCCUGCCCUUGUCCUCCAGCUCUGCUUGGAUUUAGAGCCGCCGACACCUGAGGGAGACCUGAGGAGGCCAGGGACAGUGCCAAGUGCAAGGCGUCUGCAUGAUCCUGCAGCCCCGUGGUUGCACCUCGCCAGUGGGCUGAGGUCCUUGGGGUGACGCCGAGUUCCUGUGACGGGGCCUCCUUACGUGCCCAUCUUCUGCAGGGAGUCACCGUGGCCAUGCUCAGAAGAUCAGCAACUGAGAGGAGCAUGCAGGUGCCUCCCUAAGGGUCUGUGAUAUCAGUUAUCUGUGGUCCAGGGUGCUGCCACCGGGGCACUGCAGCCAGGGACUCACAUCAGGCCCUGCAGACGGGAGUGUAGAGGUCAUGCCCCAAGGGAGAGAUGGCUUGCACUGAGAUCAGAGGAGAUGAGCUGGGCAGGGCAUUUAAGGGUUGUGAAACCUAGUGGGGGGAGCGGGGGUCUUUCCUGGGAAGAGCAUGCGGAGCCACCCUGCGUCCAGCUCUGUGGCCCUUCAGGUGAGAGAUGCAGAGGAGGAGGGGGCCGGAGGUGCAGGGCAUUGGCCUGAGUUCAGGUCCUUGCUUCCUGCAGGACCUUGGUAAGGUCCUUGGGAUGGGGCCUCCUUCCCAAGACCCCUGUAGCCUAAUUAGUGCCUCAGCAGAGGUAGGUGCCCAGCCCCCAGGCAGCCGGGGGAAUAGGGGGCACCUUCAGCAAGCCGGGGCGAAACGGAGGGCAAAGGAGUGCGAUUUCGGCUGAGCUGCUCAGCGAGCAGGUGUCUGCCUGGCCAGAGAGGCAAGGCUUGAGCUCUGCCUAGCCGCGACAGACCCAGGGACCCGCAUCCCCCUGCAAAAGACUUGGGUUCAAGUCCUUUUUCUGUCUAAAACAGAGCAGGGACUUGACCCCUUAUCACAGGGCUGCCUCUCUGUGCGCCAGCCACCAAUGCAUGGGUUAUGCCACCGAGGGGAGACCCCCACCUCGGGGCUGCGGCCCGUCCUGGGGACAGGAGGGUUCAAGUCCUUGCACUUGCCUGUCUCACGUAUGCUGUUGUCCGAGUACACUUGAUGGGAGAGAGGCCUGCCUGGCGAGUCCUGCUCGGGGCCCUGGGUGUGAGCUCUGGGCAGCGCUGGGUUUUGAGGCAACACCAGCAUUUGGUCGGCUUUGCGCUGGUAGAAAUGUGGGUGCCCAUGGUGCUCGGCAGACUGCAGGGUGGAUCUGGGCAGAGCAGCGGUGCCCAAAUAGGGGGCACAGGCGGACGCUUUGCCUCUCCUGCCACCACCAUACCUCACAGGAUCUGGGGCUUCUGGGAUCGCGCCUCGGUGCUCACAAAACACGCUCCUGCAGGAGAUCCUGGUUGCAGGGUCUGGCUUUUCCUCUCAGAGUCAGACCCAUCACCAACCACGUUUGGGGUCAGGAGGGAUUUGGUCAGACUGGCAUGAUUUGUAGGUGGUCUCUGCAGUGGGGGGGCACUUUUCCUAGGAUCCUCUGAGCAGUUGCUUCUCCAUUGUGCCAGGGGCAGGGCAUUGGCCAUGACCAUCUCCUUUUCCCUGUGCCACGUGCUAAGGUGUUUUUGGUGCUUUGGGUUUUGUGCCUUGUAGCAGUGGGUGAGGGGUGGAGGUGGCAAAGUUGGGAGGUUUCCUGGGGGCACCGGGCUCAAUGGCUUGGGAAGCCCCUUUCCAGUGCUGCUCCUAACCAUACAGACCCCGUAGCUAGAGGAGCAAUUGGAGAAGGUGUGCGCUGAGCAGUCUGCGCCCCAUCUUGCCCUGGAGAGGAGUGUUGGCUGAGUAGCACUGGGGGGCGUUAGCCCUGCCUCUGCCCACGCUGCAGCUAGUGGAGCCUGGUCCAAAGCCUACCAUGAGAUGGUUCAUUUUCCCUGAGCGAGACGGGCAAGGGCUGGCUUUGUAUGGCAGCGCUCGGGGUUUGUGCCAGAGGGAAGAGGAGGGCAGAAGACGCAGUGCCAGCGGUUAAUGAGCCAGGCGGACACACAGCGCAAUCAGUCAGGGACUCUGUUCACCUCCACCCCUCACCUUCAUUAACACAAUUAGCAGCUCCCGGCUCACAUCAACUCCUUAAGCGUGGACUGUGCCCUGAAAUCCUUAUGUUAAUGGAGUCUAAUGAUCUACUAAUCUUCCCUCCCCGCAGCCCUCGGCCUGCUUAAUUGGUGGAGCCAUUGGCCCGGACACUUAACGGUUGUGUAAUGGGUAGCAUUUGCCCUCCUCGUGGUUUUGCCUUAUGAUUUGCCACUUACUGAGGGCGCGGCAGACAAUAGCAGGGGUCAGAGCGGCUCCGUCUCCUCUGUCUUCCACGUCUGAGCGAGGUCAGGCAGCCGGCGGGGGGGAGCGAGUCCUUGCUUACACCAUUGAUUGGGGGGAAAAAAAGGACUCGGGGUGUCUGCUCGUAGCCUGGGAGGGUCCUGGUGCCGUCUGCGCUGUGCCUGCAAGGCCAGCGUCUUGCUGAUACUGGUACGAGACCCAGUUGGAGGGGGCUCCCCUGCAUCCCUCUGCCCUGAUACUAAUUUCUUAGUGGCAUGAAUCAAGAGGCAUCAUGAUGGUAAUAGCUCGAGGGGCGAAUCUGGCCCACUCCAGUUGUUCCAGCUGGGGUGCAGCCUGAGAGCAGCGUGUGUCCUACGAGCUGGCGUCACCCCGGGGCUGCUUUUCCCCUGGGGAGCUCCAAGCAUGGUGCAAACCUCACUAAAGCCUUGUCAGAGGGCAGCAGAUAAUACAGUGUCCAAAGGGAUGGGCUUGGGGGGGAUCUCCGUGCAAACCUCUCCUCUGCUACUGAAUUCCUGUGCGAUGCUGCAGGGCGAGAGGCACAAAGGGAAGGAGACGCUCAUUUGAGUUCAGCACCGAGACUCUCAAACCCUCUGGUCAGCUGAAGGUGCCCGGGUUUGCACCAGGAAAGUCCCUGAGGCCUUGGCAUUUUUGCUCUGGGCUUACGCACAGCCACUCAAAUCCGCAUGAGCGCCAAGGCCAUCCUCUGGGUCACCCCCGGGGCCUGAUCCACUAGGCAUCCUCAGAUCGUGCCCCCUCCCCAGCAUCCUAGUGGUCAGAGCCCAGCUGGGAGGGAGAAGACCCAAGCUCACGUCCCUCCGCGUGGCUGAUUUGGAGCCGUGGUUUGAACCCGGGGCUGUGGAGUGGCCCUGAUCAAGGGGCUACCCCGUCUGGGAUCCCGCUGGUGAAUCUGGUCUGCUUUGCGUUCGACGGGAAGUGCUCUAACCACUACACGAGGCAGUCAAGCUCCUUCACCCCCUGGCUCCAUGAGUGUGCCAUCCUGAAAUGCGAAGCUUUGACAAGGGGAGACUGGCUGAGCCUGGGGGAUGCCAGGCUUGCAACUGGAGGCCCCACCUCUUGCUCCACCUCCCUUGGAGAGCUGCCUCCUACCCGGGACUUGAUAAAUAGGUGCUGCCCAAGCUUGGUGGUAGAUGCUGCUGGGCACUUGCCUCCAGACUUCUCUGCUAACACCAAACCGCCGCUGCCCUGCUCUGAUGAUGCACGCAGUGCUUAAGUCUGCCGGAGACGGGCUCGUUGCGUCGACACCACCAGAACUUCAGCCGGUGGGAUCGGACCCCAUCGAGGGCACUGCUGCGGGGGUGAAAAUGGGGGCAGGGAAAGGUCCAGGCUGCCCCCUGCCUCCCUCCACACAGCCGAUGAGGAUCUGUGAUGCCUGGCCUGGGUGCCAGAUUGGGACCGGCAGCUGGAUCCAGCCUGCGGACACACUGGGCACCGCCCGUCCAGCCUGCCAGGCACAAGGGUUGAGCGUUGCUGCUGCAGGACACAGCAAGGCUCGGCACCGUGCUCCAGUCUGGGGGCGCUCCUAGGAGAAGUGGGGAGGUCCCCGCUUGCCUGGGAGCAGACUGCACAAAGCCCCCGAGCGCCUGCUGGGGGCUCAGAGGGUCGUCGAGUGCGAUCUGGUAUUACCUGGCUCACUGCUCCUAAAGCCACUGGCUUCAGGCCCUCGUCAUCCAAGCUGAAGUCUCCAUGCACCGCUCACCCGGCAGAAUUGGCUGCUCCGUGCCCCGAGCUCAUUUAUUCAACUCCGGCGUAUUUUCUAGGUGCCCUCCUGGCCCUCAGCACAGGGCCCUGCACCCUGUCAGCGCAGGAGGCUGGAUUCUCCUUCCAUUAGCGGCAAUCGGGCUCAGGAAACCCAGCGCACUAAAUCAGCUAUCCGUUUGGGUGCGCUGCCCCCUUGCCCUGCUUGGUGAAGGGCCUGACUGAUACGGGCUGCAGAUGAGCUGCAUUUCCUGCACCCUUGGCUCUCAGCCUCGACUCCAAGCCUGCGUCAUGAGCCUCCCUGGAAAAUGCCAGCUCUUUGCUUUCACUAGCUCUUUGACUAUGGAAAAAUCCUAGAGCGAUUCUUCUGUUGCAAAGGACCCAGGGAGACCGUGGCGGGGCAGCGUGUAUCAGUCACUCCAGGUUCCUCUUUGAAAUCUCACAGAUCAUGAGAGGUGUUUGCACACCUAAGUGUGCUAUCGUUGUGUGGCACCCUUGGACAGAUCUCAAGGCACCCGAGGGUGCACCUGGAGAAUCGCUGCCCACGUGCUGUCAUUUCUGAGCAUGCCAGUGGGAUCUGCAUCAUGGGACCCUGUAUCCUUUGUGUAUUGCUGUAUUUUAACAGCGGUUAUGCUAGGUGCUUUCCACCAAAACCUUCCAGGAGUGCCUUCCUGCAUGUAACAAAGGCACAAAGAAAAAGCCGCUAACGAGCUUCUGGGCCUUGAUAGUGUAAAACGUGUAACGUGUCUUGGGCAGGGGGGGAAACCCUGUUGUGAGCCAGGGGUACCAGUGAGCUGAGAUGCCCCAGGCAGACCUGGACACAGGUGUGGGCGAACCGGCCUGGACAGAAAGGGGGCCUGAAAAUGAAAAAAAAAUGACAAUUGCAAAGAAAAAGUUUUAAUAUUGUGCAUAUACGGGACUGGCCCUGUUAUCAAUUGAGAACAAAUUCUUUAAAGACAUCGAUACCACGGAUGUGAUAAAGACUUUUGCAACAAAAAAAUGCUGCAGAGUGGCAAAGGGGGGCCUGAUACUAAAAGUUUGCCCGGGGCCGCCAGGAGUGCAGGUACGGCGCUGGCCCCAGGCAGUGGGGAGCGUGCUGGAGAUACCAGGGACAAGGAACCAAACCUUUCUCAGGGCAAAACUCACCAACCCCUUCCAAGGACCGUGGAGGAGACGGCGUGGCGUUUCCAGCCUUUUGCCCAGCAACGCCUCUCCUACAGGAGCUGCAGCUUCGGGCCCAGACUCUGCAAGAAAGGAAGCAGGUUUCUGAUGCACCAUCCGAUGCGUUCACUCCGGGGAGAAGCAUGGCAGGAAACUUGUGCCUUGAGCUUCCUCGUUCUGCUUCCUCUCUACUGAGGGGCUGAAUGGCUUGAGUUGUGACGUUGGUGUCACCCCAAGCAGACCUGGAUUGUAGUGUCUGUCUCGGGCAGGCAGCAUCGGGGUGGGAGCUAUUGCUCUCCCAGACGUGGGAGUCAGAGGCGUGCGUGCAGCUGCCGGCUGAGGCCGGCCAUCAGGGUGCAAUGGCAAGUGCAAGUACUUGCCUUGUGUUUAACCCUGGUGGCUGGUGCGAGCAGGACCCUCGCUGGCGCUCAGACUCGGGAGCUGGUUGCUCCAUGGGAGAUGUGUAGAGCUGCCCCUGCAACCCCCCUCCAGAUUUUCCUUCCCUGGGACGACUUCCUGGGGCUCGUAAGACUUGGGUUCAGCUCCUUGGUGCCCAUGUGCUCUGCCCUGUACCCGUAUCAGAUGUGGGGAGACGUCCGUCCCUGCAUGAUGGGACCCUGCGUCCUUUGUGCAGUGCUGCAUGACAGCUGCACGGCUACACUAAGGUCCUACCCACCGACCUGGCAGGAUGCCGCCUCCACCCGGCGGUGAGAUGCUGAGGGCGCGGGGGACCAUUGCAAGUGGACGGGCAGGGCUUUUGAGGGCCACUUCUUUGUCCAGGGGCUGAGCAGCUGAAGAAGGGCCCCCCACUUUGCUCCUCUCUGCCACUGUUUCGCUUUGGGAAAGGUGAGUUUUGAGUUUUGUGACUCGUCCAAGGAACAGGAGGAAGCCAUGCAGUAAGGGGUGCUCUUCCCUCUGGGAUUAGGGGUAGUGUCCUGCUGCAGGAGGGGCUCAAUUGGCCCCCCAGCCUCCUGCUUGCAUUAUUUGCCCCAGCUCCUGGGGGCAGGGAGCCUGAGGCUGUUUAAAGCAGAAGGACUUGGCAACUCUUUGAGGGUCUGCAUGGGGAUGGCACAGGCUCUGCGGCCCCCAGCUGAGCGAGGCUGGGAGGCCGAGCGCUAAAACGUCUGGGGACUGCACUGGCUGCAGAGCAACCGGCCUCCCGUCUGGGUCUCUCAGCAGUCGGUCUCCUGGGGGGGGUUAUGCCCUACUUUUCAAAGCCAGUUUGCAGGACCCUGGGUGAAUUGGACUCCCGCGGCCCAGGCCUCCAGGGCAAGCGUUACAGCACAGAACAGACGAGCGCAGUGCAGUAAAAUAUUUAUUGGCCAUGU